rnacentral:rRNA from 1 species
CAAUAGCGUAUAUUAAAGUUGUUGCAGUUAAAAAGCUCGUAGUUGGAUUUCGGGUGGGUGUUAGCGGUCCGGCUCUGCUGUGUACUGCUAGUGCCUAUCUUUCUGUCGGGGACGGGCUCUUGGGCUUCAUUGUCCGGGACUCGGAGUCGACGUGGUUACUUUGAGUAAAUUAGAGUGUUCAAAGCAAGCGUUCGCUGUGAAUACAUUAGCAUGGAAUAACACGAUAGGACUCUGGCUUAUCUUGUUGGUCUGUAAGACCGGAGUAAUGAUUAAGAGGGACAGUCGGGGGCAUUCGUAUUUCAUUGUCAGAGGUGAAAUUCUUGGAUUUAUGAAAGACGAACUUCUGCGAAAGCAUUUGCCAAGGAUGUUUUCAUUAAUCAAGAACGAAAGUUGGGGGCUCGAAGACGAUUAGAUACCG